rnacentral:siRNA from 1 species
GGGAUGCCUGAUAAAUCAACUUCC